UUGUAAUGAUUAUAGGGAGAUGCAGCACUUCGGUGGUAACUCAAUUCCCAUUGGCAGUACAUGCAAAUAACUUUAGUCUUGUCGAGAGAACCAUCUUGAAGGGCUUUAAAACUUAACUUUCC